UAACCCUACGGAGUGCUCAGGUCCGCCGCAUCUCCUGGGUCCGUGGGGUUCGGCUGGCCGGAACGCGGUUGAGUGGCCUCCUCGUAAGCGCCGCGUUUCGGCCGGCCACCCU
rnacentral:sRNA from 1 species